rnacentral:rRNA from 1 species
GUCGAGCGGUAAGGCCCUUCGGGGUACACGAGCGGCGAACGGGUGAGUAACACGUGGGUGAUCUACCUUGCACUUCGGGAUAAGCCUGGGAAACUGGGUCUAAUACCGGAUAUGACCCGUGGUUGCAUGACUUCUGGUGGAAAGAUUUAUCGGUGCGAGAUGGGCCCGCGGCCUAUCAGCUUGUUGGUGAGGUAACGGCUCACCAAGGCGACGACGGGUAGCCGACCUGAGAGGGUGACCGGCCACACUGGGACUGAGACACGGCCCAGACUCCUACGGGAGGCAGCAGUGGGGAAUAUUGCACAAUGGGCGCAAGCCUGAUGCAGCGACGCCGCGUGCGGGAUGACGGCCUUCGGGUUGUAAACCGCUUUUGACAGGGACGAAGCGCAAGUGACUGUACCUGUAGAAUAAGGACCGGCCAACUACGUGCCAGCAGCCGCGGUAAUACGUAGGGUCCGAGCGUUGUCCGGAAUUACUGGGCGUAAAGAGCUUGUAGGCGGUUCGUCGCGUCGUUUGUGAAAACUUGGGGCUCAACCUUAAGCUUGCAGGCGAUACGGGCGGACUAGAGUACUUCAGGGGAGACUGGAAUUCCUGGUGUAGCGGUGAAAUGCGCAGAUAUCAGGAGGAACACCGGUGGCGAAGGCGGGUCUCUGGGAAGUAACUGACGCUGAGAAGCGAAAGCAUGGGUAGCAAACAGGAUUAGAUACCCUGGUAGUCCAUGCCGUAAACGGUGGGUACUAGGUGUGGGGCUCCUUCCACGGACUCCGUGCCGUAGCUAACGCAUUAAGUACCCCGCCUGGGGAGUACGGCCGCAAGGCUAAAACUCAAAGAAAUUGACGGGGGCCCGCACAAGCGGCGGAGCAUGUGGAUUAAUUCGAUGCAACGCGAAGAACCUUACCUGGGUUUGACAUACACCGGAAACCUGCAGAGAUGUAGGCCCCCUUGUGGUCGGUGUACAGGUGGUGCAUGGCUGUCGUCAGCUCGUGUCGUGAGAUGUUGGGUUAAGUCCCGCAACGAGCGCAACCCUUAUCUUAUGUUGCCAGCGCGUAAUGGCGGGGACUCGUGAGAGACUGCCGGGGUCAACUCGGAGGAAGGUGGGGACGACGUCAAGUCAUCAUGCCCCUUAUGUCCAGGGCUUCACACAUGCUACAAUGGCCGGUACAGAGGGCUGCGAUACCGCGAGGUGGAGCGAAUCCCUUAAAGCCGGUCUCAGUUCGGAUCGGGGUCUGCAACUCGACCCCGUGAAGUUGGAGUCGCUAGUAAUCGCAGAUCAGCAACGCUGCGGUGAAUACGUUCCCGGGCCUUGUACACACCGCCCGUCACGUCAUGAAAGUCGGUAACACCCGAAG